ACGGAAGGCAGCAGUGGGGGAUAUUGCACAAUGGGGGAAACCCUGAUGCAGCGACGCCGCGUGAGUGAAGAAGUAUUUCGGUAUGUAAAGCUCUAUCAGCAGGAAAGAUAAUGACGGUACCUGACUAAGAAGCACCGGCUAAAUACGUGCCAGCAGCCGCGGUAAUACGUAUGGUGCAAGCGUUAUCCGGAUUUACUGGGUGUAAGGGAGCGUAGACGGCAUGGCAAGCCAGAUGUGAAAGGCAGGGGCUCAACUCCUGGACUGCAUUUGGAACUGUCAAGCUAGAGUAUCGGAGAGGUAAGUGGAAUUCCUAGUGUAGCGGUGAAAUGCGUAGAUAUUAGGAGGAACACCAGUGGCGAAGGCGGCUUGCUGGACGAUAACUGACGUUGAGGCUCGAAAGCGUGGGGAGCAAACAGGAUUAGAUACCCUGGUA
rnacentral:rRNA from 1 species